rnacentral:rRNA from 1 species
GAUGAACGCUAGCGGGAGGCCUAAUACAUGCAAGUCGAGCGGUAUAGAGACUUCGGUUUCUAGAGAGCGGCGCACGGGUGAGUAACGCGUACAUGACCUACCUUCAAGCCUGGGAUAGCCCUGGGAAACUGGGAUUAAUACCGGAUGUGAUAAUAAGUUUGGAUAUUUAUUAUUAAAGUUACGGCGCUUGGAGAUGGGUGUGCGUCUGAUUAGCUAGUUGGCGAGGUAACGGCUCACCAAGGCGACGAUCAGUAGGGGGCGUGAGAGCGUGACCCCCCACACGGGUACUGAGACACGGACCCGACUCCUACGGGAGGCAGCAGUAAGGAAUAUUGGUCAAUGGGCGAAAGCCUGAACCAGCCAUCCCGCGUGCAGGAUGAAGGUCCUAUGGAUUGUAAACUGCUUUUAUCAGGGAAGAAACGCCUUCAUUCAUGAGGGUCUGACGGUACCUGAGGAAUAAGCACCGGCUAACUCCGUGCCACGCAGCCGCGGUAAUGUCGAUA